rnacentral:siRNA from 1 species
UGCGAGAGCCGAGAUAUCCGUUGC